GUUGAUUUGAGCACACAAGGAAGAGUACUUUUGUGGGUGUGUCUGACUACGUGCGCUCCACAAAUAGUUACUAGAUCGCAACAUAGUUUCGAGGAGGACCUUACCGAGACGCAAGUGAAAUAAUACGUUCUGUUUUGACAGAAAGUAAACUGUGAGAGCGACCGGUCGUUCGAAGUAGUUAGUCUGUCAGUUUAAUUUCUGAGAUUGUUUGUUGUCCACGUUUACUUUCUUUGUUGUGACGUUUUUGGACGUUAUCUGUGAGAAUAUUUGAUCAGCGGCAACAUUAUGUCAAACCCCCGGCCUAGAUGUUGUAUUUUAGGAAAGGGUUCGAAUGGCUACGGCUUCCAUCUGCACGGUGAGAAAGGGAAGGCCGGACAGUUUAUCCGACUGGUAGAACCAGACUCUCCUGCCGCCACCGCCGGUCUCUUCGCUGGGGACCGACUGACAUUCGUUAACGGGGACAGCGUGGAGGGCGAGAGCCACCAGCAGGUCGUUGCCCGGAUACGAGCCACCGUGGGCAGCCUCGAGCUGAUCGUGGUAGACGCUGAGACCGCGGAGGUACUGAAGAAGCACAACUUGGAGUGCCGUAAAGAGUAUGUCACGGAGGGCAUCCCGUUACCGGGCAGCAAGUCGGGCCAUGGGGAUGCAGCGGAGAGCGAGGCGCCUGCUACAUCGGCAGAGAACGGAAACUUCUCCCUACAGAGGCUAAGUGUGAGCGCCAAGGACUCGAAGGCAGAGCUGCGUCCUCGUCUGUGCUUGAUGAAGAAGGGUGUGACGGGCUAUGGCUUCAACUUGCACAGUGAGAAGUCUAAACCGGGCCAGUACAUUAGAGCUGUGGACGAGGAAUCUCCUGCUGACAAGGCUGGCCUCAAACCGCAGGACAAGAUCGUACAGUCUCUAACCAUGUCGGUAGUAGGGAUGCAGCACAGUGAGGUCGUAGCAGCCAUCAAGGCCGGGGAGAUGAGACCAGUCUACUGGUGGUGGAUCGUGAAGCAGAAGCCUUCUUCAACAGCUGCAACGUCAUUCCUACUGAGGCCCACCUCACAGGACCUCUUCCUGAACCUGUGUCCAAUGGAGGAGCAGAAGAAGAGGAGCUGGAUGGUAAGGUAGCAGCAAAGCCUAAGGUGUCGGUCAGUGCAUCGACAUCCAGCACCACCUCCACUGCCUCUCUACCAACAUCUGCUGCCAGCACCCCUCCACCAGAGGUCCGGGUGCCUCCGGUUAAGGAGCCGAAUGUGAGCCUCAGCAUGUCUCUAGCCCAGGCCAAGGAGAGAGCCACCCAGAAACGCUCAUCCAAGAAGGCCCCUGCCAUGGACUGGAGCAAGAGGAACGAACUCUUCAGUAACCUAUAAAUCACCUUUCCUUUCUCUCGCCCUCACUCCUUCUUUUGCUCUCUCUCUCAAGCAGACACACAAUGUACGACAUGAACGGUGUUAAUGUUUUGUGAUUUUCAUGUGCUAAUUGAGGGGGUUUCCACUUUAUUUUUUUUCAAUAAAAAAUAAAUAAUUGAAAUGCCACUCCUGCAUAAGAAACAUUGUAUAGUUUCCAUCUAGUAGGAUGAAGGAAUCAAAGAUGAUGAAAUAUAUGGAAAUAAGAAAUGAAUGUGUGUGUGUGUCAUGAAGGUGUGUUGAAUCUUAUUGUCAGUCUAUCUGCAAUCUGAUUGGUUGCUAUACUUCCUUGUAGAAUCACGAGCUAGCUAAUAGCAAGCUGGGAGUGAUUGAGUUUUUCUGGAUGAGUUGGGAUGAAUCAACUUCUUUCCAGAGACUUUCAUGUUUAGUAUUUCUGCCUGAUCGCUGGAUUCAAUCCGUAUGGUGGAAGAUCCGAGUUAUUUCUCAAUCUAAAGUUAGUGAAUUUUCCUGCGUUUGCGGAGACUGUAUUCACAGUAAACACUGUAUAUGUCGACACAAUCGGAAAUGACCUUUACAUUUGAACCUGGAUCUUCUGCGAUAUGGAUGAAACCCAGCCCUUAAUGAAUGACUAACCGUCUGAAUUCUUUAGCAAUACGAGACCAUCGUCUGACCAUCGCUUAAUGAGAGGUCUGGUUAGCAGAUAUCACUGAAAUGUAUCAAUCUAAUGCUGACCACAGGUGUACUACCCGAUCUCUUUGAAGAUGUUGACAUGUCAAUUCUUAGACUGUAGAACUCAUUCAGAAUACAUGAUUCUCUGUUCUAUAUGUGACAAUCAUUGUUGGGUCACAUUUUGGUUAAAGGGACUGAGGUAUGUGGUUCUAGAUGUUAACCCAAAGUAAGCUGUUGUUUAACUGUAAAGUUAACCUGUCCAAACUGGUGUUCAAUCACCACUAUUGUAAAAUCCUACGGUAUUUUUAUCGUUGUGAUUAAACGUUUUGUCCUGCAUAUGUCUCAUCGUUUUAAAGAAUGACGAGAUUGUGUCUUCUAGAUUUGUACAUAACUCAAAAUACAAUUUCCGUCUUAAAGAAAUCCUCAAUUUGUUUGAAGACUGUUCCAGAAUCUCUCUGGGUUGAUGGGAGUGUUAGCCUACUGUAUAUGUGGCAUCUCUGGUCCAGGGCGUUAGUGUAUCAGCCCCAGCUCUGGUCCUGGAGCGCUACUGGCUGUGUACGGUACAAGGGCUGAGUUGUCAAAUGUCUUGAGGAUGAUGGUAUAAAUGUGGUAUCAAACA